GACGGACCACACAAACGUUAUUCGGAAUUACUGGGCUUAAAGGGUGCGUAGGCUGUGCAGUAAGUUGGGUGUGAAAUCCCUCGGCUCAACCGAGGAAUUGCGCCCAAAACUACUGUGCUCGAGGAAGACAGAGGUAAGCGGAACUUAGGGUGGAGCGGUGAAAUGCGUUGAUAUCCUAAGGAACACCAGUGGCGAAAGCGGCUUACUGGAUCUUUUCUGACGCUGAGGCACGAAAGCUAGGGUAGCAAACGGG
rnacentral:rRNA from 1 species